CACGUAGGGUGCGAGCGUUGUCCGGAAUUAUUGGGCGUAAAGAGCUCGUAGGCGGUGUGUCGCGUCGGCCGUGAAAACCUGCAGCUUAACUGUGGGCGUGCGGUCGAUACGGGCAUCACUGGAGUUCGGCAGGGGAGACUGGAAUUCCUGGUGUAGCGGUGAAAUGCGCAGAUAUCAGGAGGAACACCGGUGGCGAAGGCGGGUCUCUGGGCCGAUACUGACGCUGAGGAGCGAAGGCCAGGGGAGCAAACGGG
rnacentral:rRNA from 1 species